AAAAGAUUAGUUAAUAUAUAACAAUAAUUUGUCAAAUUAUAAUAAUAUAAUUUGUAAAACUGUAUAUCUUUUA
rnacentral:tRNA from 1 species